AAUAAAGCAUAUGGUGGAUGCCUUGGCAUAAUGUGCCGAAGAAGGACGUAAUAAGCCGCGAUAGUCGUCGGUGAGGAGCUAAUAUCCUUUGACCCGGCGGUGUCCGAAUGGGGUAACCCCGGUUCGUGUAAACGGACUGGACCGAGAGAUUUAUCUUUCGGUCGGUAACCCGGAGAACUGAAACAUCUAAGUACCCGGAGGAAAAGAAAUCGAAUGAGAUUUCCUUAGUAGCGGUGAGCGAAAAGGAAAUAGCCUAAACCCAUAUUUAUAUGGGUGUUGCAGGACCAGAUAUAUGAUGUUGUUUCGAUAGAAGAACACCGUGGAAUAGGUGGCCAUAGAGAGUGACAGCCUCGUAAUCGAAAUUGAAGCAACAUUAAUUUGGCACCUAAGUACGUUGGGAGACGGCAAACUCCCUGCGGAAUCCGCCCCGACCACGGGGCAAGGCUAAAUACACAUUAUGACCGAUAGUGAACGAGUACCGUGAGGGAAAGGUGAAAAGAUGGGUGAGACACCCAGUGAAAUAGUACCUGAAACCGUAUGCUAACAAACAGACAGAGCUUCGAUUUAUCGGAGUAAUGUAUCGUCACGGAGGCGUAGUGAAAGCGAGGAUGAAUAGUCCGUUUAGCAGUGCGUCCAAGACCCGAAACCGGUGUGAGCUAACCAUGAGCAGGGUGAACUGUGAGUAAAAUCACAGGAAGGCCCGAACCAGUAACUGCUGCAAAAGUUUUGGAUGACUUGUGGUUAGGGGUAAUAUGCCAAUCGAACCCGGAGAUAGCUGGUUCUCCCCGAAAUAUAUUUAGGUAUAGCCUUGAGUAAUUGCAUGCGUGGGGGUAGAGCACUGAAAAGGUAUAGUGAAGCAAUUCAUUGUACUUUAUCAAACUCCGAAUACCAUGUAUGUUUAUCUCAGGAGUCAGUCCUUGGGAGCUAAGUUCCAGGGGCAAAAGGGAAACAACCCAGAUCGUCAAUUAAGGUCUCAAAAUCAUAGCUAAGUGGCUCAAGGAAGUCAUAAUCCAUAUACAGCUAGGAGGUCGGCUCAGAAGCAGCCAUCCUUGAAAGAAAGCGUAACAGCUCACUAGUCUCGGAUUGUGGCGCCGAAGAUCCAACGAGGCUCAAGCUAUGUACCGAAAUUACGGAUUGUCACACAUUUAUGUGUGAUUCUGGUAGCGUGGGGUUAGGCGGCCCUAAGGUGAGGCUGGUGUAAUGCCGGCGUAGCCGAUGGAUUACCGGUUGAUAUUCCGGUUCUCUAGGGCGUUCGUUAUCAGCUUGGGGAGGGACGGUUUAGGAAGAGCGGGGCGCAUUACAUGAAUUUGCGUCCAAUCGCUGAGGCAGUUGGCUAUAGGAAAAUCCGUAGCCGGCGUUACAACCCGAGGUGUUAUGGGGAAUGUGGACCUUGUGUCCGCGUGACUCCGCAACCUUUCUGAAUCCAAGAAAAUCUUCAUGAGCGAGAAUGUUUUAGAUCCGUACCGCAAACCGACACAGGUGAACUGGUAGAGUAUACCAAGGUGAGCGAGAGAACCUUCCUUAAGGAACUCGGCAAAUUAGCUAGGCGUAACUUAGGGAGAUGCCUAACCUGUUUUUUUGGUACUUGUAUCAAAAAAAUGGGUCGCAGAUAAAGACUAUGAGGUGACUGUUUAACAAAAACACAGGUCUGUGCGAAGACGUAAGUCAACGUAUACGGGCUGAGGCCUGCCCAGUGCCAGAAGGUUAACUGAGAGGGUAACCCCGACUUGUUCGGGAUAGCCUUUGAUUGAAGCCCUGGUGAACGGCAGCAGUAACUAUAACUGUUCUAUGGUUAAGGAUAUACAAAUCGUUGCCAUAGUGAGGUAGUCAAACCUCUCUGAUCAGUGCAGAAAAUAAUGAUCAGAAAAACUUUGCUAUAUGCUGGAAGAGCUGAGAAUCUUCUGCUACUAUGAGUGUAAUGACACAUAGUGACAAUGCAAGAAGUGCAGCAAACCAGCAGGAAAGACUCAAUCCAUGGUGGAUUGUCGGUUUUGUAGAUGGUGAAGGUUGUUUCUCUGUGAGUACGUUCAAAAACGAUACGUGCUCAAGUGGUUAUCAAACUCUUUUUGAGUUUGUCAUCACUCAGGGAGAAAAGAGCCGUUCCUCACUCGAACAAAUCGAAAGAUUUUUUCAGUGCGGGCACAUUUACAUUAAUCAUCGACAUGAUAAUCACCAUGAAAAUAUAUUGCGAUAUUGUGUGAGGCGGCAAACUGAUCUCAAAAAGAUCAUAAUUCCGUUUUUUACUAAAUAUCAGCUUUAUACAACUAAACGUCAGCAAUUUGAAAAUUUCUGUCGCAAGUUGAACGAAAGAGUAUCCCCAGAGACUAUACGCAAAGCAUCGCGAAAGCGUAAAGAUAUAGUCCGAUCUCAUGAGCGAUCAUGAGUCAACAAUUUAGAGCGAAAUUCCUUGUCGGGCAAGUUCCGACCUGCACGAAUGGCGUAACAAUCUCAUGACUGUCUUGAGGAGGGACUCGGCGAAAUUGAAAUGGCUGUGAAGAUGCGGCCUACUGGUAACAGGACAAAAAGACCCCGUGGAGCUUUACUGUACCUUGACACUGAAAUUUAUGUUUUGACUGUGUAGCGUAGGUGGGAGGCGCAAGCCGAUCAUGUAACACCACUCUUUGAAACGUGAGUUUCUCACUUAU
rnacentral:rRNA from 1 species